rnacentral:misc_RNA from 1 species
AACAUUUUAAGGUUAUGCUUUUUAUUUUUACAUUGUAAUGUUUUUAUAAUUGUAAUUUGUAAUUUGUAUGUCCAGGUAACUAGGUAAGUCACAUGUUUAAUUAGCUAAUAAAUAACUAUACUGUUUACUCAUAUUUGACUAUGUUUUGCACGACCAGUGAUUUAAGGAGUUUAAUGAUUUUAUAAUACAGUAGAUAACCCUGAUAACCACUAGCCACAAGCAAUGGAUGAAUUUACUGAAAAAACACUCAAAAACUGGGGAUUUGAAAAUCUUAUUAACCCUUUUAAAGAAGAAGAUAUUGAUAUGGUAGCAUUUCUUGGCCUAACAGAAAGUAUGAUAGCUAAAUUUUUACCUAAAAUGGGACAUCAAUCAAAAUUUAAUGGACUUUUGGUAUCUCUUAGAGAAACAAUCAACCGAGAUAAGGAAACUUACUCAUUGAUAUCUGAUGAACAAAUGACGUUAACAUCAUCCGAGUCUAUUGAUAUUAGUAACUUAAAUUUUAUCAUUUCUUCUGAUGAAUUACAUCCUACUUUUACAACUGAUAAAAAUGAAAAUAUACAUGUUGAAUCUAGUUCACAAAAUACAUGUACAAAUAUUUCAAGUACCACAGUAGGAAAUACUUCAGAAAAUAUAAGUUCAAGUGAUAAAUAUAUAAAUGAUAUUUUGAGUAAGUGCAGUGAUGGCUUAAUGAUACUAGACUACUAUAAACUGCGUAACACUCUGAGUUAUACCAUGAGAAAUUUAUUAUCUUCAGUUAUAAUAAAAAAUGAAUUUUUUUCUCAAGCAAACCGACAAAUUACGAAGUCUAAAUUUAUUUAUUUAGCUAAACUUUAGCUGCUAAAGGUAUGAACUCUUCCUGCCAUUUAAUGAAUUAUUAUAUUUAUUUUUAAAAUAUUUUCAUAAAUUUGCUUUAUUUGAUUGAUGAAAUUAUUUAAUUAUUAAAAGGUAUUUCAAAACUAUUUCCUUCUGAAAAUGAAAAUAUAUACUUCACUCCAUAUUUUAAAGAAGGUGAUAUAAAAAGUCCAAACAGAGGAAAAUUAUAUGAUAAGUAUUGUAAUUUAAAAAGAAAUGUUGUAAAAAUUAAUAGCUCAAUUAAAAGAAAAUAUAUAGAAUCCCAAGAUCAACUCUCAGAAGGUUUAUACUGAUAUAAUAAUUUAUUAGUGUUAUUUUUUUUUUAAAAAAGUAGAUUUUUAUAUAAUUUAAUUGAAUCAUAUUUUUUAAUACAAUUUUUGUUGCACUAGUUGAUUUCCAAGAUUCUUUAAACUGGUUAAAAAAUAAUGUAGAACCAGUAGGAGUCCUUCAUAAGCUCUGGAAAGAAACAGCACCAUUUAGAUUAACUUCUCAAAAAAAUGUUAAUGUCAUGGAUAAUAUAUCCAGCUCUGAGAAAACCUACUGGUCAUUUACUCAUUGAUAUAGAUUUUGACCAUUUGUACCCUAACAAAGAAAUGUAUUUAUAUCAAAAAUUUGACUCUUUCAAGGAAAAGUUUAAAAUGUUAUUAAAACAGAAACCUAUACAAUUUGGAUCAAACUCUUCAUAUUUUCUGACAAUGCUUAGUGACCCUAAAAGACCUGGCAAGUGUAUACCAUAGUAAUUAUGAGUAACCAUAGGUUAUUUAUGAAACAAUAAUCAUUUUUAUUACAGGGGAUGAUGAUUUGGCUACACUUAUGUUACUGCCAUACAUGUUUCAACCAACUAAUGUAGCUAUCAAAAACAAAAAGACAUACAGACCGUCCAAAAUUGAGCAAUCAAGGUCAUUUAUUACACAUAUUUCAAAUGCUAACGAACUAAAACAUUGCAUAAACAAAAGGUGGAUGGUGCAUUUAACUUGAAUUUGACAGUGCAGCCUUACACUGUUAUAGUUGGAGAUAUUGAUGGUUUAGAGCCUUUGCUCAGUUAUGUUGUCAUAAACAAUACCCAGUAUUUAUUGGAGACGCCUAUCAAAGCUAUUGAUAUUUGUUUCAAAGCUUUUCAUUCCCUGAACUUCGAAUAUCCAUUACAAUCAAAGCAAGUAUGGUGCUUCAUUGAACAAUAUUUUUUGGUAUGGUGAAUCCAAUAAAAGGAAAACAGUUUUUGUCCAUACAAACAUUAAUGAAAGAUUUACAACCAUAUUCCGGUACCUUGGCUGAACCUACAUAAUUUAAUGGUAUUAUUUUAUAAUUGCUUUAUUUUUACAUAUAAUUUUAUACAUAACUAUUAGUUACUAAUCUUACGAAUAUGCCUUCCUGUUUUUUGUGUGACUCGUUUUACCAGUCUGUAAAUCUGUUGAUUACACAUAUUCAUAUUUAUCACAGCAUUAAUGAUAUAACAGAGUUUGUUUGUAAAGAGUCAAAUUGUUUUAGAAUUUUUGAUAGUUUAAAUUCAUACAAAAAGCAUUUAAAAAAUAGCCAUAAAUUAAAUAGCAAUCUUCAAAAUCAAAUCUCAAACAACAGUAACCUAGAAAUACAUCAACCAGAUUCAUCUAAUUUAAUAAAUUUACCUAUCAUAAACACAGAAGAAAUUCCUUUUUCUGAAAAUAUUGUCUUACCGUCCAAUUUUAUAGAUAACUUAAAAGAAAAGUUACAACUAAGUGCGUUGCAACUAAUUAGUAAAUGGUAUUCUAACAAUUCUAUCCCAAGAAAUAUAGUACAAACUUUACUCGAAGAUAUUACUAAUUUUAAUGAUUCUUUUUUAAAUAUCUUGAAACAAAAAGUUCUUAAUGAUAUAACUAACUUUGUUCCAUCAAAAAAUACUGAAGAAUAUAAUG